rnacentral:rRNA from 1 species
AGGGUUUGAUCCUGGCUCAGAUUGAACGCUGGCGGCAGGCCUAACACAUGCAAGUCGAGCGGUAGAGAGAAGCUUGCUUCUCUUGAGAGCGGCGGACGGGUGAGUAAUGCCUAGGAAUCUGCCUGGUAGUGGGGGAUAACGUUCGGAAACGAACGCUAAUACCGCAUACGUCCUACGGGAGAAAGCAGGGGACCUUCGGGCCUUGCGCUAUCAGAUGAGCCUAGGUCGGAUUAGCUAGUUGGUGAGGUAAUGGCUCACCAAGGCGACGAUCCGUAACUGGUCUGAGAGGAUGAUCAGUCACACUGGAACUGAGACACGGUCCAGACUCCUACGGGAGGCAGCAGUGGGGAAUAUUGGACAAUGGGC